rnacentral:rRNA from 1 species
UGGGGAAUUUUGGACAAUGGGGGAAACCCUGAUCCAGCAAUGCCGCGUGAGUGAUGAAGGCCUUCGGGUUGUAAAACUCUUUCGGUGGGGAAGAAAUCUUUUAUGUGAAUAGCAUAGAAGGAUGACGGUACCCGGAGAAGAAGCACCGGCUAACUACGUGCCAGCAGCCGCGGUAAUACGUAGGGUGCGAGCGUUAAUCGGAAUUACUGGGCGUAAAGCGUCCGCAGGUGGUUUAAUAAGUCUGAUGUGAAAUCCUCGAGCUUAACUUGGGAAUUGCAUUGGAAACUAUUAGACUAGAGUACGGCAGAGGGGGGUAGAAUUCCACAUGUAGCAGUGAAAUGCGUAGAUAUGUGGAGGAAUACCGAUGGCGAAGGCAGCCCCCUGGGCUAAUACUGACACUCAUGGACGAAAGCGUGGGGAGCAAACA